GUAGGGAAUCUUCGGCAAAUGGGGGGCAACCCUGACCGAGCAACGCCGCGUGAGUGAAGAAGGUUUUCGGAUCGUAAAGCUCUGUUGUAAGUCAAGAACGAGUGUGAGAGUGGAAAGUUCACACUGUGACGGUAGCUUACCAGAAAGAGACGGCUAACUACGUGCCAGCAGCCGCGGUAAUACGUAGGUCCCGAGCGUUGUCCGGAUUUAUUGGGCGUAAAGCGAGCGCAGGCGGUUUGAUAAGUCUGAAGUUAAAGGCUGUGGCUCAACCAUAGUUCGCUUUGGAAACUGUCAAACUUGAGUGCAGAAGGGGAGAGUGGAAUUCCAUGUGUAGCGGUGAAAUGCGUAGAUAUAUGGAGGAACACCGGUGGCGAAAGCGGCUCUCUGGUCUGUAACUGACGCUGAGGCUCGAAAGCGUGGGGAGCGAACAGGAUUAGAUACCCUGGUAGUCCACGCCGUAAACGAUGAGUGCUAGGUGUUGGAUCCUUUCCGGGAUUCAGUGCCGCAGCUAACGCAUUAAGCACUCCGCCUGGGGAGUACGACCGCAAGGUUG
rnacentral:rRNA from 1 species